UCUGCUAUGGAUUCUCAUCUUGUCGACCUCUCCUAAGCUAAGCAGGGUCAAGCAUUGGUCAGUGCUUGGAUGGAAGAUCUCAAGGGAAACAAAAUCCACAGUAGAA
rnacentral:rRNA from 14 species